CUUUGCACCCAGGUGAGUGGAGCCAGACUGGGCCCAGCCCUCGUGUCGGAAAUUGAGAGGCAGGACAGAAAGUAUAAGAGGCAGGGCCUCCAGUUCAGUUGAAGGGGAGCCAGGGAAGGAGACAGAUGCCUCUUGCCUGUCAGGCCCUGUGACUGAGCUGAAUAGCGUCCUGCCCCCAGAGGAGACCAAGUCCGGAGAGGAGCUGCCAAGGUUGCUGGCGGCCAAAUAACUAGAGGAGACUGAGGCUGAAGAGGAGCUGCUCAGAUUGCCGGUGGCUGAAUACCCCGAGGAGAUGGAGGACCCCAUGACUCUGGAGUCCCUUCCCUGAUCAUGCUCGAAAAACGUGACACAGAGUACUAAAGAGCCCCAGUCAUACGGUGACCCUGCUUAAAUGAACAGACGCAUCGCUGAAUAGCUUUCACUGCAGUGGCUCUGGCUUCCCUGCUGAUUGGGCCGACAGCUCAAUCCUCAAGAAGGUCAAGUAAAAUGGAACUCAAGUCAUUAUGUUCCACUGAAGCAAUUACACGCUGCUGACUCAGGGGCAUUGAUAAUCAGCCGUCUGGGUGCUGAUAGCCGUUGGUAGUGGCUGAGGGAAGGAUGGAGGGAGUUGCAACUCCAAUUUGUUCCAGUCUUAGCCUGUUUCAAUAAGUGCCUCUCUAAUGCUGUUAUACGAGGAUGAAAUAUGCCUCAUAAUGCUUUGCAGGUGAUACGAAGCAGCGAUGGAUUUCCACAGGAGUGUGGGGAAAAUAAUCUCAGAUUCUAGAUAACCACAUAUUAAUGCGGCACUGAAAACAGACAAUACUGUGAAGCAAAGCUCCUGGGACUGAGGGAGAUGUGAGGUGUUCUCCUUACAGAGGUGAGACCAGAUGUAUGCACACACCAAUUUGGGGGACAGGAAAUCGGAGCCUGUUACAGCUAGAAAAGUUUGAAUAAAGCAAACUGUAUUUAAAUUAAAAAAGCAAUAACUUACCAGCUCCCUGUGGAGUUUCCCCUUCUCUCUUCCUAUCACCUAGGUCCCUGUGUGACUUUGCUGAAAUUUCUCAGUGGUCAUGUUUUCCCUCAGACUCAUUUUCUCUACUUAUCAACCUUAUGAAAAAAUAUUUUUUUCUGUAAAAAUCCUACUUAUCUCCCACACACUCUCCCACACUGUCUCAGUCUCUCUCUCACACACACACACACACCCCUCCUUCGUUAAUCUCUCCUUUCUCUGUCCUCAGCUCCAUUUUUACCACCUUUGUUUCUCUUUUCAUUUUCCCAAGCAAUGGCGAUGCUCUCCACCAACUCCCUUCAGCUCACGCUGUGCUCCCUUCUCUCAGCUCCUUCCUACCUCUCUCCCCUCUGCACUCCCCAUGUUCCCUCAAUGCCCCCAUGCUUCCCUUCCAGCCCCUCAGCCCCUGGUG